GAUGAACGCUAGCGGCAGGCUUAACACAUGCAAGUCGAGGGGCAGCAUGAGACGGAGAUUCGUCGAAGUCUUGAUGGCGACCGGCGCAAGGGUGCGUAACGCGUGAGCAACUUGCCCGUUUCUGGGGAAUAACCGGUGGAAACGCCGACUAAUACCCCAUAGCAUUGACUUUGGGCAUCCUUAGUCAAUUAAAGAAUUUCGGAAACGGAUAGGCUCGCGUGACAUUAGCUUGAUGGCGGGGUAACGGCCCACCAUGGCAACGAUGUCUAGGGGUUCUGAGAGGAAGGUCCCCCACACUGGAACUGAGACACGGUCCAG
rnacentral:rRNA from 1 species